GCCAAUGUGGUGAAGUGGUUUCAGUGCUGGACUAGGACUCCAGAGGACCAGGUUCAAGUCCAUGCUCAGCUA